rnacentral:rRNA from 1 species
GACGAACGCUGGCGGCGUGCUUAACACAUGCAAGUCGAGCGGUAAGGCCCUUUCGGGGUACGACGAGCGGCGAACGGGUGAGUAACGCGUGGGUGACCUGCCCUCAGCUCUGGGAUAAGCCUGGGAAACCGGGUCUAAUACUGGAUAUGACUCCAUGACGCAUGUUGUGGGGUGGAAAGCCUUGUGCGGCUGAGGAUGGGCCCGCGGCCUAUCAGCUUGUUGGUGGGGUGAGGCCUACCAAGGCGACGACGGGUAGCCGGCCUGAGAGGGCGACCGGCCACACUGGGACUGAGACACGGCCCAGACUCCUACGGGAGGCAGCAGUGGGGAAUCUUGCGCAAUGGGCGAAAGCCUGACGCAGCGACGCCGCGUGAGGGAUGACGGCCUGGUUGUAA